CUACGUGCCAGCAGCCGCGGUAAUACGUAGGGCGCGAGCGUUGUCCGGAAUUAUUGGGCGUAAAGGGCUUGUAGGCGGUUGGUCGCGUCUGCCGUGAAAUUCUCUGGCUUAACUGGGGGCGUGCGGUGGGUACGGGCUGACUUGAGUGCGGUAGGGGAGACUGGAACUCCUGGUGUAGCGGUGGAAUGCGCAGAUAUCAGGAAGAACACCGGUGGCGAAGGCGGGUCUCUGGGCCGUUACUGACGCUGAGGAGCGAAAGCGUGGGGAGCGAACAGGAUUAGAUACCCUGGUAGUCCACGCUGUAAACGUUGGGCACUAGGUGUGGGGGCCACCCGUGGUUUCUGCGCCGUAGCUAACGCUUUAAGUGCCCCGCCUGGGGAGUACGGCCGCAAGGCUAAAACUCAAAGGAAUUGACGGGGGCCCGCACAAGCGGUGGAGUAUGUGGUUUAAUUCGACGCAACGCGAAGAACCUUACCAGGUCUUGACAUUGAUGGACAGAACUAGAGAUAG
rnacentral:rRNA from 1 species